ACUGUAGAAAAUUGGCUGAUAGUGAAGCCUAGAGAGCAUUUAGAGCAGUCCGAUAGAUGAUUGAAGGAGCUCAUUAUCGGAGAAGUUUGGAGGGUAUGAUAGGAGUUCGUUCGUUGGAGGAAUCUGGGAGACACUAUGGAAGGUCGACUGCUGGAGGAGUUCGGAUGGUACUAUGGAAGCUUGGACGGUCGGGGGAGUUCAGAAAGAUAUCGCACAAGGUCAGAAGUCGGAAGAGUCCUGGGAGGGUUGGCCUCUUACAAACUUCGGCUGGGGUUAUUUUAUACCCA
rnacentral:lncRNA from 1 species